rnacentral:rRNA from 1 species
UACGUAGGGUGCGAGCGUUGUCCGGAAUUAUUGGGCGUAAAGAGCUUGUAGGCGGUUUGUCGCGUCUGCCGUGAAAGUCCGGGGCUCAACUCCGGAUCUGCGGUGGGUACGGGCAGACUAGAGUGAUGUAGGGGAGACUGGAAUUCCUGGUGUAGCGGAGAAAUGCGCAGAUAUCAGGAGGAACACCGAUGGCGAAGGCAGGCUCUGGGCAUUAACUGACGCUGAGGAGCGGAAAGCAUGGGGAGCGAACAGG